AUUCCACGUUUGAUGCGCUCUGACGCAGACAUCUUGGAGCAAGCGAUCAAGUCUGCUUUCAACAGCACCUCUGGCUUUUCGGUAUCCCCUUGAAGAUCAGCGCUGCCUCCGUGGCUGCAGGAGCUCCAGCGGCGUGACAUCUCUCCAUAAGCGAAGGAGUGAGAGGGCGGUGCGCAGAGGAGGAAAGGCGCCGUCCAGUCGCCUCGUAACUCCAUGGGAAACCCAGAGGGAAUUUCGGCAUACCAUGGAGAAAGGAAACACAGGAGUGGACCGUUUUCAAUCGGGACGAGCGUAGCCGCCUUCGUGUUGCAUUCUGGGAUGCUCCUAUCUACCUCGUGACCGCUCACGUGACCCCCCCCCCCCCCCCCCCGAUAGCACGGCGCCUACCAAAGCAGACGACGCGAGCUGUAGCUAUAGCUGCCUGAUACUUCAGAUUUCAACAUUAUGUUGAACACGUGCGUGCACUUUUAUUUCUGUGUCUUCGGAGGUUUACUCUUCCAUUACAAGACCAGUGGGGACAUGGCUUCAAUAUGGGACCCGUUUUGCCAGGGUUUUCCUAAAACUAAAGCGCAUGCCCGACACUCGGAUCGAUCGUUUCAUUGGAGCGAUAAUGCCGCUGGUUUCUCUAAUGACAACAGAAGCGACAGGUCAAGUAAAAAACACAGUGUUUGAUAGAAACGGACGUCUGUUCUUUAA